UUACUGGGCGUAAAGCGCAUGCAGGCGGCCUGUUAAGUCAGAUGUGAAAGACCCGGGGCGUUAACCUCGGAAUUGCAUUUGAAACUGGCAGGCUAGAGUCUUGUAGAGGGGGGUAGGAAUUUCUAGGUGUAGCGGUGAAAUAGCGUAGAGAUCUGAAGGAAUACCAGUGGCGAAGGCGGCCCCCUGGACAAAGACUGACGCUCAGAUGCGAAAGCGUGGGGAGCAAACAGGAUUAGAUACCCCUGGUAG
rnacentral:rRNA from 1 species